rnacentral:rRNA from 1 species
GAUGAACGCUGGCGGCGUGCCUAAUACAUGCAAGUCGAGCGAACAGACGAGGAGCUUGCUCCUCUGACGUUAGCGGCGGACGGGUGAGUAACACGUGGAUAACCUACCUAUAAGACUGGGAUAACUUCGGGAAACCGGAGCUAAUACCGGAUAAUAUAUUGAACCGCAUGGUUCAAUAGUGAAAGACGGUUUUGCUGUCACUUAUAGAUGGAUCCGCGCCGCAUUAGCUAGUUGGUAAGGUAACGGCUUACCAAGGCAACGAUGCGUAGCCGACCUGAGAGGGGGAUCGGCCACACUGGAGCUGAGACACGGACCAGACUCCUACGGGAGGCAGCAGUAGGGAAUCUUCCGCAAUGGGCGAAAGCCUGACGGAGCAACGGCGCGUGAGUUAUGAAGGUCUUCGGAUCGUAAAACUCUGUUAUUAGGGAAGAACAAAUGUGUAAGUAACUAUGCACGUCUUGACGGUACCUAAUCAGAAAGCCACGGCUAACUACGUG